UACGAAGGGGGCGAGCGUUGUUCGGAAUUACUGGGCGUAAAGGGCGCGCAGGCGGCUCUGAAAGUCAGAUGUGAAAGCCCCGGGCUUAACCUGGGAAUUGCAUUUGAUACUCUGGAGCUUGAGUACGGGAGAGGAGAGUGGAAUUCCCAGUGUAGAGGUGAAAUUCGUAGAUAUUGGGAAGAACACCGGUGGCGAAGGCGGCUAUCUGGACCGUAACUGACGCUGAGGCGCGAAAGCGUGGGGAGCAAACAGG
rnacentral:rRNA from 1 species